GACGAACGCUGGCGGCGUGCUUAACACAUGCAAGUCGAACGGAAAGGCCUGCUUUCCCUUGUGGAUUGCGGGUACUCGAGUGGCGAACGGGUGAGUAACACGUGAGUGAUCUGCCCCCAACUUGGGUAUAAGCCUGGGAAACUGGGUCUAAUUCCCGAUAGGACUGCAGGGUGGUGCCUGUGGUGGAAAACGAUUUUCUAGUGGUUGGGGAUGAGCUCGCGGCCUAUCCGCUUGUUGGUGGGGUAAUGGCCUACCAAGGCGGCGACGGGUAGCCGGCCUGGGAGGGUGGACGGGCACAUUGGGACUGGGAUACGGCCCAGACUCCUACGGGAGGCAGGAGUUGGGAAUAAUGGACAAUGGGCGGAAGCCUGAUGCAGCGACGGCGCGGGGGGGAUGACGGCCUUCGGGUUGUAAACUCCUUUCGACCGCGAGGAAGCCACCUGGUUGGAAGGGUGGUGACGGUAGUGGUAGAAGAAGCACCGGCUAACUACGUG
rnacentral:rRNA from 1 species